rnacentral:rRNA from 1 species
AGAGUUUGAUCCUGGCUCAGAGUGAACGCUGGCGGCAGGCCUAAUACAUGCAAGUCGAACGGCAGCACAGCAGAGCUUGCUCUGGUGGGUGGCGAGUGGCGGACGGGUGAGGAAUACAUGGGAAUCUGCCCAGUCGUGGGGGAUAACGUAGGGAAACUUACGCUAAUACCGCAUGCGCCCUUCGGGGGAAAGCCGGGGACCUUCGGGCCUGGCGCGAUUGGAUGAGCCCAUGUCGGAUUAGCUAGUUGGCGGGGUAAUGGCCCACCAAGGCGACGAUCCGUAGCUGGUCUGAGAGGAUGAUCAGCCACACUGGAACUGAGACACGGUCCAGACUCCUACGGGAGGCAGCAGUAGGGAAUAUUGGACAAUGGGCGCAAGCCUGAUCCAGCCAUGCCGCGUGAGUGAAGAAGGCCCUCGGGUUGUAAAGCUCUUUUGUCCGGAAAGAAAAGCGCCGGGUUAAUACCCUAGUGUCCUGACGGUACCGGAAGAAUAAGCACCGGCUAACUUCGUG